GCAGGACGGGAGGUGGGUGUGAGGCACAGGUAACCUUGACCUUGAGGAAGGGGCAGUGGUGGCCGUGAACCUGCGAAUCCACGGAGAAGAAUCAGGACCUCCCUCUGCCAUGGGCAGGGGUACUGAUUGGCUUCAAAAACUCCUGGACAGCAGAUCGUGAGCGAUGGUUUUGGGUGCAGUCCCUCCCUCAGAACACCCUCCUCGAC
rnacentral:lncRNA from 1 species